rnacentral:lncRNA from 1 species
UUCCUCCUCACUUCCCCUGGUGUGCCUGGACAGGGCUGCUGGUCAGGAGGCAUGUAGCCAUGUUGGAAGGCAGCAGUCCCAGAGCCAGGAAAGGGGUUAAGGCCAUCACAAAGUUCAGCAAGAGGCGGGCUCUGUGUGGGUCUGGGGCCACUAGAACUCGUUGCUCAGAGGUCCCCAGUGCUGGGAGCAGGAGGGCCACUCCUGUUCCCACCCACACCCUCUGUGGGCCACCUAAUUUGGGGAGUGGGAAUACCACCCUGCAGACCCCUCCCUUCUCCGGCCACAGGCAGCUAGUCCCAUGUCCAGCCUGCCAAAGCCCUCUGCAGCCCCCACCCCUGCCUGCCCCUACUCUCAGGAGUGGAGGGCUCUCUUUGCAGGAGCCCAGAAGUUCAUUUCCUGUUCCAGCAGCUCCUGAGGUUGGGUCUCCCACGGCUGCAGCUGGCUGACCGGCCCCAUGCUGCGCUCUCCUCUCUGGCCUCUAUGACUCUAGCAUGGUUUAGUGGAUCCAGCCUCACUCCAUUUACAGCCCACUCCCAUCCUCGCCACCUAGCCGGGCUUGUUCCCUGAACUUAAAGCCCUGGGGGGAGAGAACAAGGCUGAGGGGUCUACACCUCUGCUGAUCCUCCUAUUUCUCAGCCUGGCCGGUGACUCCAGAGCUGAGGCUGCACACACCCCGGGCCCAGCAGUGUGGCUGGCAGACAGGGCCACUUCAAGGGGUCCCAGCAAGUGUGUGUGCUUCAGGCAGCCCCCAACAGGGCCCCACCAAGCUCAGGCCCUACCAAGCCUGCCCCAGGAGGCAAAACACUUGUGCUUGUACUGCUCUGCAGGAGCCCCGCGUGCCCGCCACCGUCCUCUGCAUCUCAGCUCUGACUUGGCAGCCCUCCGACCUCAGCCUGGUUACUUCGCCUUUCGGAUCUACCCAGCGCUGUCUCUCCUGAGCCCAGCAGCCAGAUUUUCACUCCUGCCCAUGAGGUUCUUCAUGAACAUUAAACAUCCUGCAAGUUCUGUGCUGCUAUAAGGUGUCAGACUUUCAAAGCCCCACUCAAGCUGUGUCAUCACCAUGUAACUGUCAUGGCAAUAGCAGCA